rnacentral:rRNA from 1 species
UACGAAGGGGGCUAGCGUUGUUCGGAAUCACUGGGCGUAAAGCGCACGUAGGCGGAUCGUUAAGUCGAGGGUGAAAUCCCAGGGCUCAACCCUGGAACUGCCUUCGAUACUGGCGAUCUUCGAGUCCGGGAGAGGUGAGUGGAACUCCGAGUGUAGAGGUGAAAUUCGUAGAUAUUCGGAAGAACACCAGUGGCGAAGGCGGCUCACUGGCCUGGUACUGACGCUGAGGUGCGAAAGCGUGGGGAGCAAACAGG